rfam:Lucilia cuprina strain LS Scaffold170, whole genome shotgun sequence.
UAAUUUUGUGAUGAAUAUUUUAUAAUUCUUGAUAGGAAGAGUAUGAAACAUAAUGAGUACUACAACUAAGCUGAUUAUCUU